rnacentral:rRNA from 1 species
UAUGUAGGGCGCAAGCGUUGUCCGGAAUUAUUGGGCGUAAAGAGCUCGUAGGCGGUCUGUCGCGUCGGUUGUGAAAGCCCACAGCUUAACUGUGGGUCUGCAUCCGAUACGGGCAGACUAGAGGCAGGUAGGGGAGCAUGGAAUUCCCGGUGUAGCGGUGAAAUGCGUAGAUAUCAGGAGGAAUACCGAUGGCGAAGGCAGUACUCUGGGCUAACACUGACGCUGAGGUGCGAAAGCGUGGGGAGCAAACGGG